UAGACCCGAAACCCGGUGAUCUAGCCAUGGGCAGGUUGAAGGUUGGGUAACACUAACUGGAGGACCGAACCGACUAAUGUUGAAAAAUUAGCGGAUGACUUGUGGCUGGGGGUGAAAGGCCAAUCAAACCGGGAGAUAGCUGGUUCUCCCCGAAAGCUAUUUAGGUAGCGCCUCGUGAAUUCAUCUCCGGGGGUAGAGCACUGUUUCGGCAAGGGGGUCAUCCCGACUUACCAACCCGAUGCAAACUGCGAAUACCGGAGAAUGUUAUCACGGGAGACACACGGCGGGUGCUAACGUCCGUCGUGAAGAGGGAAACAACCCAGACCGCCAGCUAAGGUCCCAAAGUCAUGGUUAAGUGGGAAACGAUGUGGGAAGGCCCAGACAGCCAGGAUGUUGGCUUAGAAGCAGCCAUCAUUUAAAGAAAGCGUAAUAGCUCACUGGUCGAGUCGGCCUGCGCGGAAGAUGUAACGGGGCUAAACCAUGCACCGAAGCUGCGGCAGCGACGCUGAUGCGUUGUUGGGUAGGGGAGCGUUCUGUAAGCCUGUGAAGGUGUGCUGUGAGGCAUGCUGGAGGUAUCAGAAGUGCGAAUGCUGACAUAAGUAACGA
rnacentral:rRNA from 1 species